AUGAAUUCCUCCACUGGACAGACAGUGCCAAUGAACGUGAUGUUAAUUCUGUGUAUUUCUGUCUUCUUUGCAGAGGAACAGCAGAGCCAGACUGACGGGGGGGAGUUGAACGUGAGGCCAUCCCUGUCGCAGGUGACCAAGUCCUGGGGCUUCAGGCGCACCACCAUCGCCAGGAGGGAGUUCAUGGAGGAAGUCGGGGAACUGUCACACAGCCCUCCGCCCGUGCGGAGAGGCAGAAGCCGUCGAAACAACCAGACGCCCCAGACCUCCGCGGAGGGCCGCGCCACUCGUAAAGCGACAUGCUCAGCGAGGAGCGUUAUCGACGACCUGGAGUGGUCGUCUCCUUCCUCACCUGCAUCUGAGGAGAGUAAGCCGGCCUCAGAGGCCUCUGCGGGCGGCAGCCUCGACCCCAGCUUGUGGCAGGACUUUGGCUCUGCUUUCCACACGGCCUUCUCGCUGCUCGGCGGCAACGAGGGCUUGUCACUUGACAUGCCAGACGCACUGGCAGCCCACGACACUCUGGAAGACGCCGACGCCACCAAGGCCCCUUCCCCUCAGGGUUUAGAUGAAACUGAGGUGCCCGACGAUGUGGAAUCUGCUGACGAGAUGGAAGUUUCACAGCCGCUUUCUCCCCCUGACGGUGCGGCGGCAGGAAUAAACGAUGUGGUGUUGAUCUCUAGUCAAGAAGACGACAGCGAUGAAAUGACUCUGAUACAGAUAAAGGAGCGGCUGGAAUCCAGAGGUCGGCAGGGAGACUCGAAGGGUAGAGGGGGGAAAGGUGGACGAGGAAAGGCCAGAGGAAGAGGCAGAGGCAGAGGAAGAGGCAAGGGAAGAGGCAAAGGACGAGGCAGAGGUCGAGGAAGGGCAGUGGAGCUUCAGCCAAACAUUCCAGACGAGGUGGACAACGACGAUGAGGUGAUGUUCGUCGGCACGGUCGAGCAGCAGCAGCAGCAGGAGGAAAACGAUCCACACAACCCGACCGAGAUCCAGACCUCACCUGCUCGCUCUGAUGUGACUCUGAGUCCGGCGCAGCGAUCGAACUCAGACUGCAUAAUCAUAGACACUGACAUGGACCAGGUCACCGAGGUCGCUCCUGGCCAGUACGACGAUGCACCCGAGGAGGAAGAGGGGGAGCAGGAGGAGAAAGACAGAAUAAACCAAGGAGGGUACUCGAGUAUAUCAGACAGCGAGGGCUACGACUCCAACGCUCUGUACUGCAUCUGCCGACAGAAACACAACAAAAGGUACAGGACUCAUUUCUGGUAA
rnacentral:lncRNA from 1 species